UACGUAGGGGGCUAGCGUUGUCCGGAAUCAUUGGGCGUAAAGCGCGUGUAGGCGGUCCGGUAAGUCCGCUGUGAAAGUCGGGGGCUCAACCCUCGGAUGCCGGUGGAUACUGUCGGGCUUGAGUACGGAAGAGGCGAGUGGAAUUCCUGGUGUAGCGGUGAAAUGCGCAGAUAUCAGGAGGAACACCAAUUGCGAAGGCAGCUCGCUGGGACGUUACUGACGCUGAGGCGCGAAAGCUAGGGGAGCAAACGGG
rnacentral:rRNA from 1 species